rnacentral:lncRNA from 1 species
AAUCAAACAGGAUAUGCACAGUUGGUGAUAUAUAAUUAUAAAAUUUGGAGUAAUAAGGUUACAUUUUUAGUAGAACAAGCAAAGAAAAAAUAUUUUCAAAUUGUAAAGAUAGUAAAACUAUUUGGAAGUAUGUCAAAAGUCUAAAUCCUAAAAAAGUACAUAAUAAUAUCACAUAUUUAGAAUAUAAAAAUAGUGUAAUUCAAAAUGAUGUUGAUAUAGCAAAUACAUUUAAUGUGCAUUUCACAAAUAUUGCUGAAAGUAUAGUUGAUGACAAAUUAUGUAAUAAUGAUGAUGGUGCCAGAUUUGAUGCACUCAAUAAAUUUGUAAAAUCAAAGUUACAAACGGGUAGUGAAAAAUUCAUUAUACCAGAAAUGAGUAUUUUAGAUGUAAACAUGUAUUUAAAAAAACUUGACAAGUCUAAAGCAACUGGUUUAGAUGAUGUCGGACCAAAUAUUUUGGUAUGUGCAGCGAUGUCAUUGCACCAGCCUUGACAUAUAUAUUUAAUCUAAGCAUCAAAAGUGGUAAAUUUCCAAGUAUUUUUAAAACUGCAAGAGUUUGCCAAUUUUUUAAAAGUGGCGAUGUCUGUAAUCCUGAUAAUUAUAGACCAAUAGCAGUUUUGCCUUGUCUCUCAAAAAUCAUAGAACGAUAUAUAGCUAAUAGUUUGUAUAUAUUUUUAAAUAGUAAUGACCUUCUUAAUACUACACAGUCAGGUUUCAGACCUAAACAUUCGUGUACUACUGCACUUACUAAAUUAGUAGAUGAAUGGUUGGCAAAUAUAGAUAAUGGAGAGAUAAACGGAGUUAUAUUUUUAGAUUUAAAGAAAGCUUUUUGAUCUGGUUAAUCAUAUAAUUUUUAUUGAAAAAACUUGAAUAUUAUAAUGUUUCAAAUUGUACACUAGACUGGAUUUAAGUCAUACUUGUUUGAACGAAGCCAACAAGUUACGGUCAAUAACGUCAUGUCUAAUACUAAAUGCAUAAAAACUGGGGUACCACAAGGUUCUAUCCUGGGCCCUCUGUUAUUUAUUUUAUAUAUCAAUGAUUUACCACUUAAUAUAGAACAUUCAUUAAUAGAUUUAUAUGCAGAUGAUUCUACAUUACAUUGUAAAGGUAAUAGUUUCUUCAGUUAACUUCUAACCUUCAAAAUGAUAUUCAUGUAAUUGAAAACUGGUGUUCGCAAAAUUGUAUGAAAUUAAAUGCCAAAAAGUAUAAUCAAUGAUUGUUGGUUCAAAACAAAGACUUUGUUCAACUGGAAACAGUUUAGAUAUCAAUAUUUCAAAUGAACAAAUAGAAAAUGUAGAUUGUGAAAAACUUCUUGGUUUAUAUAUUGACACAAACCUAAAUUGAAAUCAGCAGAUAGAUAAAAUGUCAUGUACUAUAUCAAACAGAAUCAAUUUAAUAUUACAAAAGAUAAGAAAAUAUUUACCUAUGCAUAUACGUAUUAUCUAUUUUAAUGCUUAUAUUCUGCCAUUAUUUGAUUAUUGUUGCAAUAUAUGGGGAAGCUGUUGUGAAAGUGGAAUAAAUAAAACUUAAUAAGUAUUAAAGAAAUCUGCUAGGGUUAUAGUAGAAGCUGACAUAAUGACAUCAUCCAGUUUAUUGUUUAAUAGUUUACGCUGGUUAAAUGUGGAAAAACGCAUUCAAUACCAAAAGGCAAUACUUGUAUUUAAAUCAUUAAAUGGUAUGGUUACUAACUAUUUACAAGAAAACUUUCAUUUUACUGAUAAUCAAAAUUAUAACUUAUGUUCAGCUGAUGAAAAACUAUUAAAUCUUCCAAAACCAAAAACAAAUUUUUUAAAGAAAACAUUUACAUAUUCAGGUUCUCAGAUAUGGAACAGUUUACCAAAUGAAAUAAAAAUGAGUAAUACACUUGUAUCUUUUAAAACAAAAUGUUACAAAUUUUUCAUCAAUUGUGCAAAUUAAUAUGCUUUUUGAUUAUUAUUAAAUACAAUUGUAUAUUGUGUAUAAUAUAACUUUAUAAUACUCUAUGUACUGUAAAUUCAGAAAUUAAUGCGAGAUUUUUAUUAUUGCGAAAUAUGCGACUGAGUUGUAAACGCAAUAAUUUAAACUCGCAUUUUGAAAUAUUUUAUAUGAAUUUAACAGGAUUUUUCUGAAAAUCGUAAAAAUUAAAAUCGCAUUUAAGUCUAAAAUGAAAAUAUCGCAAUAAUAAAUGCACGCAAUAAUUUCUGAAUUUACAGUACUUAUAAAUAUGUUAUUAUAAUUUGAGGACUCUCAGGAAGAUUAGUUUUAACUAAUGGGAUCAUCCUCUUGAAAUAAAGAUUAUUUAUUUAUUUAUUUAUUUAUACGUAAGUGUAGAAUAUAGUAAGACUUAGGCAGUUAAAUAACAAGUAAACAGGCAGUGGUAUUUACUGACGAAAUUUCUCGCUACAUUGAAGACCUGUUGGUGACCUUCUGCUGUUGUUUUUUUCUAUGGUCGGGUUGUUGUCUCUUUGGCACAUUCCCCAUUUCCAUUCUCAAUUUUACGUAUUGUAAGGCUACACUAAGUUAUCGUGACUAUAAUGUUUUACACACAAAAUCAAGCAGAUAAGAUUGAUUAAAAAUAGUUGAAUGUAUCAUAUUGCUCAAACUAUUGAUGUCGCGCACAGUUUUAUAUAAGCUUAUACGUGCUGUUACAUUCAUUGUUAUUUUGACCCGUUCCAGUAACCAGACUGAUGUCCUUCAAAUUUAAUGCUGGUUGGAUUACACAGGGCAGACUUGUUGUCGUUACUUGCUUGGCAUUGCAUGUAUUAAUGUCUAGAAAGUUACAUUCGAUGUUGACUAAUCGUAUCCAUAACUUAUCUAUACUCUAUUGAAAUCAACCUUGGUAAAAUGGCAAACUUCUUUUGGAACAUUUGUCUGAAAAUGUUUUAAAUUUGUAUCAAUAAAAGUCGAAACUAGUAUUGUCAAUGACAAAAAUCGCAAGCGGGUUUUUUUUUAUUUUAUAUAUAAAUUCACUACAUAAGAUGAUAAAAUGGCAAAGUCUCGUCUCAAUUUCUUCGUUGUAUUCUUACGCAGUCAAAAAUAAUUGUUAUUAAUCACAGAUUUUUAAAUUUGUUUUUCGUUAGAAUUUUGCACCAACAUCAAUAUAAUAGAAGUUCCUUUUCUAGAUGGUCUAUUACUAUGUGUCAUGCAAAAAUUAUGAAUAAAGGGAAACUCGUCAUAUUAGUACAUGAAACAUUCAGCUUCUUCCUUCCGCAUUUUUAGAUAAUCACCGAAUCAUAUUUAUUUAUUUGAAUAAUUGAUGAGAUUUAAAUAUCGGAAACAACUGUUGCCUCUUUUUUUUUACUUGUUUAUGUCUUAGUUUAUUAGCAGCAUUUACGCAUUAUUAAACGCAUUAUUUUUUCUUGUUUACCAGCUUUGACAUAUUUUUAGUCUAGACAGUUGCUGCUGUCUGUUAUGUUCUUUCUUGGACAAAUACGAGUAUAAUCAUGGUCUUUGUCAAUGACUUCUCACUAUGAUGAUCAUGCUUGCAAACAAAUUUAAGAAAAAAAUAGUUAAAUUAAGACAAACAGCAUCGAUAUGGACAGUCUGUGUCAAAUAUAUUCGACUUUACAUUUUGCAAUAUGGUUAAAAAACACUAUCAAAAAUAUAAAGCAUAGAAUCUGUUGACACAAAUAGAAUAAAAACUUUGUAUUCUCAAAAUAGUAAUUACAUUUUACUGCAAAUGAAAAUGGCUGAAAAUAAGUUUGAAGUUUUAACUAAUUAAACAUUCAUUCAAACACUAAAAACAACUUUAAAAGUAGACGAAAUCUAAAAUACAAUCAAACAGUAUAGACUAAAGUACACCUUGGACAGAAAGAACUAACGUUACAACACCACGUUGGCAAAGCAGUGUUUUACACACGAAAUCAGGUAGGAAAGUUUAAUUUAAAACAUUUUAAUUUAUCAAAUUGCUGAAACAGUAAAUGUCUCGCACAGGUUUAUAUAACCCGAUUCGUGAAAAUAUCAUUGUUAUUUCGAUCCCUUAUAUUCCUGAUUGUUUGGAUUCAAUUGGUUGGAGUGGUUGUCCAGGUCUGGCUUAGUCCCGGUUCCAGUAUAACCAGGCUGAUGUCCUUCAUAUUUAGUGCUGGUUGGAUUACACUGGGCAGACUUGUUAUCGUUACUAGCUUGGCCUUGACCUCUUCCAGACAUGUUUCUACUGUAAAAAAUAAAUACGGUUUUAGAUAAGAGAUAAGUAGGCAAUGGUAUCCAGAAUUUUCAAAUAAGCAAAAAACAGAAAAUUCAAUGUUAUGC